GGAGGCAGCAGUAGGAAAUCCUCUUUAUGGACGAAAGUCUGAUGGAGCAACGCCGCGUGAGUGAAGAAGGUUUUCGGAUCGUAAAACUCUGUUGUAAGGGAAGAACACGUACGAGAGUAACUGCUCGUACCUUGACGGUACCUUAUUAGAAAGCCACGGCUAACUACGUGCCAGCAGCCGCGGUAAUACGUAGGUGGCAAGCGUUGUCCGGAAUUAUUGGGCGUAAAGCGCGCGCAGGCGGUCCUUUAAGUCUGAUGUGAAAGCCCACGGCUCAACCGUGGAGGGUCAUUGGAAACUGGGGGACUUGAGUACAGAAGAGGAAAGUGGAAUUCCACGUGUAGCGGUGGAAUGCGUAGAGAUGUGGAGGAACACCAGUGGCGAAGGCGGCUUUCUGGUCUGUAACUGACGCUGAGGCGCGAAAGCGUGGGGAGCAAACAGGAUUAGAUACCCUGGUAGUCCACGCCGUACACGAUGAGUGCUAAGUGUUAGGGGGUUUCCGCCCCUUAUUGCUGCAGCUAACGCAUUAAGCACUCCGCCUGGGGAGUACGGCCGCAAGGUUGAAAUUCAAAGGAAUUGACGGGGGCCCUUAUAAGCGGUUGGAUCAUGUGGUUUAAUUCGAAGCAACCCGAAGAAUCUUUACCAAGUUCUUGACUUUCCCCCUGACCGGGUUUAAAGAUAAGUCUUUCCCCUUAUGGGACAGUGUCUGACAUGUGUGAGCAUUGUAUGGUCGUAAGCUUCUUUGUCUAGGAAAAGCUUGGGUUAAAGUUCCCGCAAUCGAGUGCCAA
rnacentral:rRNA from 1 species